rnacentral:SRP_RNA from 1 species
CCCCGGUCCUCUCGCAAUAAUAGUACGUGAACUCGGCCAGGCCCGGAAGGGAGCAACCGCAGCGUAUGACUUAUGUGCCGGGAUGUGGCUGGGGGUG